rnacentral:rRNA from 1 species
UACGUAGGUGGCAAGCGUUGUCCGGAAUCAUUGGGCGUAAAGAGCGCGUAGGCGGCCCUGUAAGUCCGCUGUGAAAGUCAAGGGCUCAACCCUUGGAUGCCGGUGGAUACUGCAGGGCUAGAGGCAGGUAGGGGAGAUUGGAAUUCCUGGUGUAGCGGUGAAAUGCGCAGAUAUCAGGAGGAACACCGGUGGCGAAGGCGGAUCUCUGGGCCUUGCCUGACGCUGAGGAGCGAAAGCUGGGGGAGCGAACAGG